UACGGAGGGGGCUAGCGUUGUUCGGAAUUACUGGGCGUAAAGCGCACGUAGGCGGCUUUGUAAGUUAGAGGUGAAAGCCCGGGGCUCAACUCCGGAACUGCCUUUAAGACUGCAUCGCUUGAAUCAUGGAGAGGUUAGUGGAAUUCCGAGUGUAGAGGUGAAAUUCGUAGAUAUUCGGAAGAACACCAGUGGCGAAGGCGACUAACUGGACAUGUAUUGACGCUGAGGUGCGAAAGCGUGGGGAGCAAACGGG
rnacentral:rRNA from 1 species